rnacentral:rRNA from 1 species
AUGCGAAGUCGAAGCGGCCAAGGAUCCUGUCGCAGAGAGCGGCGCACGUGGAUGAGUCAACGCGUACGCAAUGACUGCCGCCUUCAAGUGAUGGAACAUAGCCCUGGGAAACUGGACGAUUAGAAUACCUCAUAAUACAUUGAUUCUACCGGUGGGAUAAUUCCAUUCUGGCGCUGAAGGAUGGGCGUGAUACUGAUUAGCUAGUUGGUAGGGUAACGGCCUACCAAGGCUACGAUCAGUAGGGGGCGUGAGAGCGUGACCCCGCCACACGGGUACUGAGACACGGACCCGACUCCUACGGGAGGCUAUAGCAGUAAGGAAUAUUCAGCAAUGGAGGCAACUCUGACCCAGCCAUCCCGCGUGAAGGAUUAAGGCCCUAUGGGUCUGUAAACUUCUAGUGUUUGGGAAGAAAUCUGGACAUUUAUGUGCAGUUGACGGUACCUUACGAAUAAGCACCGGCUAACUAGCUGCCAGCAGCCGCGGUAAUACGGAGGGUGCAAGCGUUAUCCGGAAUCAAACGGUUUAAAGGGUGCGUAGGCGGUUUGAUAAGUCAGAGGUGAAAGCUAGCAGCUUAACUGUUAAAUUGCCUUUGAUACUGUCAGACUUGAAUCAGGUUGAGGUAGGCGGAAUGUGACAUGUAGCGGUGAAAUGCAUAGAUAUGUCAUAGGCCACCAAUUGCGUAGGCAGCUUGCUGGGCUUGAAUUGACGCUGAAUCCGAAAGCGUGCCGAUCAAACAGGAUUAGAUACCCUGGUAGUCCACGCCCUAAACGAUGUUAGAGCGAUAUUUAUUCUUCGGAGUGAGUGUCCAAGCGAAAGCGUUAAGUUAACCACCUGCGGGAGUACGUUCGCAAGAAUGAAACUCAAAGGAAUUGACGUACGUCCGCACAAGCGGUGGAGCAUGUGACAUAAUUCGAUGAUACGCGAGGAACCUUACCUAGGCUAGAAUGCGAGUGCUGAUAGGUGAUACCCUAUUACCUUCGGCGCACAAAGCAAGGUGCUGCAUGGCUGUCGUCAGCGACGGCCGUGAGGUGUUGGGUUAAGUCCACGCAAUACGAGGCGCAACAUUCAGUUGACCAGCAUUAAGAUUCUGAAUAGACUGCCGGCGUAAGCCGGCAUGGCCAUGACGUCAAGUCAUCAUGGCCUUUAUGCCUAGGGCUACACACGUGCUACCAAUGGACGGUACAGAAUCUCGCUAACCGCGAGGUGGAGCCAAUCGGAUGCGCCGUUCUCAGUUCGGAUUGGAGUCUGGAACUCGACUCCAUGAAGGUGGAAUCGCUAUCACGCGCAUCAGCCAUGGUGCGGUGAAUACGUUCCCGGACCUUGUACAGGACGUCAAGCCAUGGGAGUUGGCCAUGCCUGAAGAUGGUGACUUCACCUCGAGCUAUCUAAGGUAUGACCAGUAAAACGCGGCUAAGUUACA